rnacentral:rRNA from 1 species
UACGAGGGGGGCGAGCGUUGUUCGGAAUUAUUGGGCGUAAAGGGUGCGUAGGCGGUUCCGCAAGUCCUGUGUGAAAUCUUCGGGCUCAACUCGAAGUCUGCACGGGAAACUGUAGUGCUAGAGUGUGGGAGAGGUGAGUGGAAUUCCCGGUGUAGCGGUGAAAUGCGUAGAUAUCGGAAGGAACACCUGUGGCGAAAGCGGCUCACUGGACCAUAACUGACGCUGAGGCGCGAAAGCUAGGGGAGCAAACAGG